rnacentral:rRNA from 1 species
AUUGAACGCUGGCGGCAGGCCUAACACAUGCAAGUCGAGCGGAUGACGGGAGCUUGCUCCUUGAUUCAGCGGCGGACGGGUGAGUAAUGCCUAGGAAUCUGCCUGGUAGUGGGGGACAACGUUUCGAAAGGAACGCUAAUACCGCAUACGUCCUACGGGAGAAAGCAGGGGACCUUCGGGCCUUGCGCUAUCAGAUGAGCCUAGGUCGGAUUAGCUUGUUGGUGAGGUAAUGGCUCACCAAGGCGACGAUCCGUAACUGGUCUGAGAGGAUGAUCAGUCACACUGGAACUGAGACACGGUCCAGACUCCUACGGGAGGCAGCAGUGGGGAAUAUUGGACAAUGGGCGAAAGCCUGAUCCAGCCAUGCCGCGUGUGUGAAGAAGGUCUUCGGAUUGUAAAGCACUUUAAGUUGGGAGGAAGGGUUGUAGAUUAAUACUCUGCAAUUUUGACGUUACCAACAGAAUAAGCACCGGCUAACUCGGUG